UGUUUUAUUUAAAAGAGUAAACAAUCGAUGGUUUUCACUAUUGAGUAUAGUAACAUGUUUUUAAAUAAGUGGACCCUUUUAGUAACAAAUUAUACGAGGUUUUUAACAUGAUAAGGUUGAACUUACAAUUCUUCUUUGUAACAUUCCCAAAUUUGGCCUUAACAUCUGUGCCGGGUUUGGGGUGUUACAGAUAACCUCCCAACUAUAACCUUUACAAUACAAAAAUAAAAAAAUAAAAAUUUAAACCCAACUCAUUUCUCUCAAGUUGCUGCCUCACUUUUAUACAAUCUAAUCUAGGUUUUGACUUAUCAAUGACUUAACAAAUAUUUAUAAGAAUCAUCUUAAGCAUCUUUUUGGUGCAUAAAAUAUUAGCUCAUCAAUUGAGCAAGUUUAUAAAUAAUAGUAUACUCCAAAC
rnacentral:lncRNA from 1 species